rnacentral:rRNA from 1 species
ACCCUACGGGGGGCAGCAGUGAGGAAUAUUGGUCAAUGGACGCAAGUCUGAACCAGCCAUGCCGCGUGCAGGAAGACGGCUCUAUGAGUUGUAAACUGCUUUUGUACGAGGGUAAAUGCAGGUACGUGUAUCUGUUUGAAAGUAUCGUACGAAUAAGGAUCGGCUAACUCCGUGCCAGCAGCCGCGGUAAUACGGAGGAUCCAAGCGUUAUCCGGAUUUAUUGGGUUUAAAGGGUGCGUAGGCGGCCUGUUAAGUUAGUGGUUAAAUGUCGGGGCUAAACCCCGGAUUGCCAUUAAAACUGGCGG